AUGGACAAGGUGCUGGCCUUCUCCAUCCUGAGCGCGUCGCCGGCAGACAUCGCCCCCGGCGCCGGCGGAAGCUGGGCUCGGCUGUCUUGGUGGGGGAGGAAGCUGCAGGAGGACGACCGGACUGGAUCAGAGCACCAAGGGAAGCAGGGCGGUCUGCCGCGGGAGGCAGAGCAGCGGCCGGACAAAGGGAAAUCGCAGUCACCGUCGACGUUGCCGCCACGGUUUGCGCCGGAGUUUGAUGGGAUCGACUGCUUCGAGACCAUCGUGUGCCAUUGA
rnacentral:rRNA from 1 species